rnacentral:rRNA from 1 species
GAUGAACGCUGGCGGCGUGCCUAAUACAUGCAAGUCGAGCGAACGGACGAGAAGCUUGCUUCUUUGAUGUUAGCGGCGGACGGGUGAGUAACACGUGGAUAACCUACCUAUAAGACUUGGAUAACUUCGGGAAACCGGAGCUAAUACCGGCUAAUAUUUUGAACCGCAUGGUUCAAAAGUGAAAGACGGUCUUGCUGUCACUUAUAGAUUGAUCCGCCCUGCAUUAGCUAGUUGGUAAGGUAACGGCGUACCAAGGCAACGAUCCAUAGCCGACCUGAGAGGGUGAUCGGCCACACUGGAACUGAGACACGGUCCAGACUCCUACGGGAGGAAGCAGUAGGGAAUCUUCCGCAAUGGGCGAAAGCCUGACGGAGCAACGCCGCGUGAGUGAUGAAGGUCUUCGGAUCGUAAAACUCUGUUAUUAGGGAAGAACAUAUGUGUAAGUAACUGUGCACAUCUUGACGGUACCUAAUCAGAAAGCCACGGCUAACUACGUG